AGAUCUGACGGUACUUGAGGAAUAAGCCACGGCUAAUUCCGUGCCAGCAGCCGCGGUAAUACGGGAGUGGCAAGCGUUAUCCGGAAUUAUUGGGCGUAAAGCGUCCGCAGGCGGCCCUUCAAGUCUGCUGUUAAAAAGUGGAGCUUAACUCCAUCGUGGCAGUGGAAACUGUUGGGCUAGAGUGUGGUAGGGGCAGAGGGAAUUCCCGGUGUAGCGGUGAAAUGCGUAGAUAUCGGGAAGAACACCAGUGGCGAAGGCGCUCUGCUGGGCCAUAACUGACGCUCAUGGACGAAAGCCAGGGGAGCGAAAGGGAUUAGAUACCCCUGUAGUCCUGGCCGUAAACGAUGAACACUAGGUGUCGGGGGAAUCGACCCCCUCGGUGUCGUAGCCAACGCGUUAAGUGUUCCGCCUGGGGAGUACGCACGCAAGUGUGAAACUCAAAGGAAUUGACGGGGGCCCGCACAAGCGGUGGAGUAUGUGGUUUAAUUCGAUGCAACGCGAAGAACCUUACCAGGGUUUGACAUCCUGCGAAUCUCCUGGAAACGGGAGAGUGCCUUCGGGAACGCAGUGACAGGUGGUGCAUGGCUGUCGUCAGCUCGUGUCGUGAGAUGUUGGGUUAAGUCCCGCAACGAGCGCAACCCACGUCUUUAGUUGCCAGCAUUCAGUUGGGCACUCUAGAGAGACCGCCGGUGAUAAACCGGAGGAAGGUGUGGAUGACGUCAAGUCAUCAUGCCCCUUACAUCCUGGGCUACACACGUACUACAAUGCUACGGACAAAGGGCAGCAAACUCGCGAGAGCUAGCAAAUCCCAUAAACCGUGGCUCAGUUCAGAUCGUAGGCUGCAACUCGCCUACGUGAAGGAGGAAUCGCUAGUAAUCGCAGGUCAGCAUACUGCGGUGAAUACGUUCCCGGGCCUUGUACACACCGCCCGUCACACCAUGGAAGUUGGCCACGCCCGAAGCCGUUACUCCA
rnacentral:rRNA from 1 species